UAACACGUGAGCAACCUGCCCCUGACUCUGGGAUAAGCGCUGGAAACGGCGUCUAAUACUGGAUAUGAACAAGAAUCGCAUGGUUACUUGUUGGAAAGAUUUAUCGGUUGGGGAUGGGCUCGCGGCCUAUCAGCUUGUUGGUGAGGUAAUGGCUCACCAAGGCGUCGACGGGUAGCCGGCCUGAGAGGGUGACCGGCCACACUGGGACUGAGACACGGCCCAGACUCCUACGGGAGGCAGCAGUGGGGAAUAUUGCACAAUGGGCGAAAGCCUGAUGCAGCAACGCCGCGUGAGGGAUGACGGCCUUCGGGUUGUAAACCUCUUUUAGCAGGGAAGAAGCGAGAGUGACGGUACCUGCAGAAAAAGCACCGGCUAACUACGUGCCAGCAGCCGCGGUAAUACGUAGGGUGCAAGCGUUAUCCGGAAUUAUUGGGCGUAAAGAGCUCGUAGGCGGUUUGUCGCGUCUGCUGUGAAAUCUGGGGGCUCAACCCCCAGCCUGCAGUGGGUACGGGCAGACUAGAGUGCGGUAGGGGAGAUUGGAAUUCCUGGUGUAGCGGUGGAAUGCGCAGAUAUCAGGAGGAACACCGAUGGCGAAGGCAGAUCUCUGGGCCGUAACUGACGCUGAGGAGCGAAAGGGUGGGGAGCAAACAGGCUUAGAUACCCUGGUAGUCCACCCCGUAAACGUUGGGAACUAGUUGUGGGGUCCAUUCCACGGAUUCCGUGACGCAGCUAACGCAUUAAGUUCCCCGCCUGGGGAGUACGGCCGCAAGGCUAAAACUCAAAGGAAUUGACGGGGACCCGCACAAGCGGCGGAGCAUGCGGAUUAAUUCGAUGCAACGCGAAGAACCUUACCAAGGCUUGACAUAUACGAGAACGGGCCAGAAAUGGUCAACUCUUUGGACACUCGUAAACAGGUGGUGCAUGGUUGUCGUCAGCUCGUGUCGUGAGAUGUUGGGUUAAGUCCCGCAACGAGCGCAACCCUCGUUCUAUGUUGCCAGCACGUAAUGGUGGGAACUCAUGGGAUACUGCCGGGGUCAACUCGGAGGAAGGUGGGGAUGACGUCAAAUCAUCAUGCCCCUUAUGUCUUGGGCUUCACGCAUGCUACAAUGGCCGGUACAGUGGGCUGCAAUACCGUGAGGUGGAGCGAAUCCCAAAAAGCCGGUCCCAGUUCGGAUUGAGGUCUGCAACUCGACCUCAUGAAGUCGGAGUCGCUAGUAAUCGCAGAUCAGCAACGCUGCGGUGAAUACGUUCCCGGGUCUUGUACACACCGCCCGUCAAG
rnacentral:rRNA from 1 species